UGUCCCAUCCACUCAUCGCCGCCGCCUCAUCUCCCACCUCGGGAUCCAUCCCCAUCCAAUCAGUGUGUGCGUCCCUGAUCCAAAUCCUCUCGAUCUCUCCCACCAACCAGCGCCUUCCCUGAUUCCCUCGUCCACCUCCUGCAGCCCGAGCACCGGUCGGCCACUGUAGCUCCUCCACGGCCUCCUUCCUCGCCGACCGACCAAGCUUCGUGCGCCUCUGCGUCGAGCCAACGCCCGAGCUCUUUGCUGCUCGUCAAGCCAUCCACCGCCGCAGGCGUCACCGGCGACCAGAGGCCUCCUCGUCGCCCCUCGAGCGGGAGUGCAACUCUACCGCCCAUGGCCUCUACCGCGCCGGAGCUUUGCUGCCACAGGCGAUAGCAACAACAACUCCCGUGCACGUGUCCACUGAACCCCGUCGCCCUCCAUCUACAUCGUCGGCGACCACCUGCAGCAGGACCCUGCGCCCCUGCCUCUUCCUUCCUCGUCCUUCUCUCCUCCCUCUCUCACCUGCUCUCUCUGUCGUGCAACAGGGAGCCCCGAGGAGUUUUGCGCAGGCCAUCCUCGUCCUCCGUGCCUACAUCAGCUCGAGGGCAGGAUCCCCUUGAUCACGUGCUCUUCAUUGACCGUAGCUCCGGAUCAGAUCGACCUCUCCUUUCCUGUACCUCCACCGCCCGGAUUCGCGCCGAUCCGCGCCUCCCUCCGUCCCCUGCAUCGCCUCGUCGCCGGAGUAGAAGCUCCGUUCGCCAAGCGCCGCGCCCCUGCUUCGUCUCGCUGCAAGAGGAGCAGCGAGUCAGCGCCCAGCCGCCCCAAAGCAAGGACAGCGACAAGUCCUCCUUCUCCCGUUGACCGCUGCGCGAGGCCCAGCUGCCCGGCCUCCACCUCCAGUUGGGCCUAGGCCCAAUGUGAGCACACCCCUAGCGCCCCACCCCUUUUUUUCCUGUUGUUGGGCCAGCAGAUCCGGCCCAUUUUUUUUGAGGCUCUGCGAAUUUAGCUAAUUUCUAGAAAACUGUUGUUUUACAGAAAACCCCUUGUAGAUCAUGCAUAUAAUAACUUAAUAACCGUGCAUCGGUUUAAAACAAA